CUUGUGACAUUUGAAAUGUGUAACAGAUUGGCUGGAGCAAUUCUUCUAACACCUGUGACUAACUACUGGUGGGGUAGUUUUCCUGCAAACUUGACUAAACAAGCAUACUACGAACAGCUCGUGCAGGAUCAAUGGACGUUACGAAUUGCACACUAUUUUCCAUGGCUGACUUACUGGUGGAACACUCAAAAGUUGUUUCCUUCUUCCAGCGUUGCAACGUUCAGUGAGGAUAUUCUCUUCGAGCAAGACAGAGUUCUAAUGCCUAUCUUUGAUUCGUAUCAGAGUAAAUAUCGGGUGAGCACUCGUUUAACUAUUAAGCAUGUCCUUAUUUCAAUGGGUGGAUCUAACAAUGUGAAAACAACGAUAGAGUUUAAGUUAUAUGUAUUGUCAAUAUAGAUGUUUCUACAUCAUUGGGCAACAAUAGGUAACUCUUCGUAUCAAGUUUGAUAUGGUAAUGUAUAGUGCCCUUAAAGAUAGUGGAAAAACUCUUUGCAUUGUCAGUGUAUAUAACUUGAUACGUGUGGAUUCUGUUCUUUAACAUUUCUGAACUCUGAGUUCUGUUUUGUUCUGUUUCUGAUUGAGGUUAGGAUCUGGUAAGACAACAAGGGGAGUAUGAGUCAAUCCACCGCGACAUAAUGAUAGGGUUCGGGACAUGGGAAUUUGAUCCGAUGGAACUAGAAAACCCUUUCCCUAACGGGGAAGGCUCCGUUCACAUAUGGCAAGGGGAUGAAGACGGUCAUGUACCAGUCAUUCUACAACGAUUCAUCGCGAAGAAACUACCAUGGAUUCACUAUCAUGAAAUGAAAGGAGGAGGACAUAUGUUUCCAUGGGCUGAAGGAAUGGGAGAUAAAGUCAUGAAGACAUUUUUACUUGGAGAGCCUUUUGUUAUGUAAAAGCUAUAAAGGGCUAUUGGUGUUAGUAUUGGAUUCAAUGACUCUUUUUGUCAUUGAACAAAUUUGAAUAUUUUGCUAAUAAUAGCAUUCUACUUAAGUUGUUUUUAGCUACGUUGCUGGGACUCUUAAAAAAUAUCGUCCUCCAAAAGCUAUGCAUUUUUAAAGGGUUCAAGUAACGGAGGUAGAUGAUAAAGUCAUGAACCCAUUCUAACUUGUGGAGCCCUUUAGUUCUAUAUAAAUUUAUACUAUGGGGAUGGUGUAAUAUUGGAUUCAUGACUCUUGUCAUUGAACAAACUUGAAAAUUUGUUAAUAAUUAUAUAAGAGCAUAAUACAUAAACAAGUUGUUAAAUUCGGUCACUUCAAUUUUUAGAGUACACAUCUGGACACGUUAAUUUGGUCUCUCAACUAACAAUUAUAUAGUCCAACUCGUCCCCAUUGUGUCUCAUGGACCCCUGACGCUACAUGACACGUAUACUUUGGUCUUUGGAGAUGCUUAUAUGAUCAUUUUGUAAGUUGGAGUGUUUAACUGACAUAAGUAGAGAUCACUAUUUGUUGUACAUUCAAAUAAUGACACUUAUAAACUAAAAUUUUGAUGUCAUUUGUUUGGAACUGAAUCGUUGUUGUUAUCACUUAUCAGGAUGUUUACGUUGUGAAGAUCACAUACUUAUUAUGUCACUUGAAGACUAAAUUAUUAUUAUUCGAUGAUCUAGAAAUCUCUAAGGGCCAACAGACGCACCAUUCAAAACUCAAUAAAUAAUGGACUUGCCUUUGUCAUUCAACACUUAAAUUUCAUAUGUUUGUUUGCAAUGUGAUUUGAACUCGUUCGUAUCACACUCUUACCAUUAAACCAAAACUUGAAGACUUAAGAUUUGAUGAGUUUUCUAUUUAUAACUUCAUUUUCUUGAAUUUCCAAGUUAAUUAUUAUGAUACAUUAUCCUAAAAAUGUAAUGUAUUAGCAUAAAUAAUAUUUAGUGAGCUUUGCUUCAUUAUUGGGCAAGAACAGCAACUAACAACUACUUUAUGUAUAAAGUUUCUGAAUAGAUACAUCAAGACAUGUAACUAUAAUUAUUGAGCUUACAUCACCACUUUAAAGUAAAAUAAAAAUUUCUUUAUUAUUUAUGUAUGUGUAGGGUCAAUUAAAAGUGAUUGAAUUAAGUGAUGUACGGUCAUUAAAAAAGAUCCAAUUAUUGGGGUACCUAUAUGAACAAAUAAUGUAAGUAAUUAUAAUUUCCCUUUUUUUUAAGUUUGCGGUAAAAAACACAUCUAAAUUAAAUAUGUAACUUUUUUUUAGUUUUAUAUUUGAAUUAUCAUAUGUGCAAAUUUCUUAUUUGAACUAUCACUAAUUAUUUAUCAAAACAUACCUCAACUAUCAAUUGUUUACUUUUCCUACCUAAAUGAUUGUUUUAUAUUUAGGUUUGAGAAGUGAACAAUUGAGAGUUGAGGUUUAUUUUGAUAAAUACUUAGUGAUAGUUUAGGUAGGAAACUCACAACUUAAUAGUUAAGUAUGAAACUCAAAAAACUUGAUAGUUCAACUUUAGAUGCAGUGGUGAACUCAGGAUAUGAAGAUAACGAUGAUACUACUGAAGGCGGAUUUGGGUUUUGUUGAAGCACCAACACUUCAUUGGAAAUUAUUGUCAAAGGAGUAUAAAAUUGAAGGUAUAUAUAAAUAUAAAUUUAACAAAAAAUGUAACAUAAUUCACUCUAUGAAUAGAUGGUCUUGACCCUCAGUGUACAAUUUGAAGUUGCUAGUGUGAAUCUUGCCUGAGACUUUUAAUAUGCCUUUUUUAAAAAGUAAAUGAAAUGCAAGCGCAACAGUGUACAUGCACCUACUCCCUCAAACGUGGAUCUGCCUCUAUUUUAAUGUGUUUUUGAAUAUUCACUAUUUUUUAUUUUUUAUUUUAUUUUAUUAUUAUUAUUAUUAUUAUUUUAUGUUUUUCAUCUAAUGUCCUCAUAUGGGAGCAGGACUAUAUCGUACACCUUAGAUUAUAAUUUAUACUACCUUGAAUAUGAGAAAGGGCUGGCCAGAAUUAAAUAAAAUUGAGGGGUGGUCCACGACUAUAAUUGUAGUACAUUUUCAAAGGAAUCUUAUAUAUUAUUUAUCUAAUAAAGAUUAUUUGAAAAACAUUCUGGCUACUUUUUUUUAUAUAUUUUAUCAUAUGAAACCGAUAUUUAUUGAUUCGAUUAUUCAUAUACAUAGAUAUACACCUUAAUUUGGCCUCAAUUGAUAAGUAAGUAUUUAGUUUUGAGAAUGCACGUCAAGACGCUUUAACUUGGUUUGAGUUGACCCUCAAAACAUACAAUCCUCCAUGAUAUUUCACAUAAGUUACAUGGAUUAUCACGGGUGUUUACGGUGUCAACUUAAAUCAAAUUAAGGUGUCUAGACAUGUCUUCUCAAAUAUAUUCCUCACAGGUUAUAUUCCAAAAGUGGCUAUUUGUUAAAGUCAUUGGAUUUGAAUCAUGCAUGGUGCAGUUGUAAAACUUUUUGAUUGGCCCAAUUACACAUGCUUAUGAGCCCAUUUGGCCGAUUGCCUUAUAUAGGCCCAGUCCAAUAGUUCUAGUUCACAUAUCUAAUUUAAGCCCAUUAACAACGUCGGUUGUUUAGAUUAUUUUUUUUGGUUGUUAUAGAGAAUAUAUAACAUAAAAUGGAUUCGAAACAAAAUUUGAUUGUUAUAGUGAAGUGUUGUUAUAGAAGAUGACUGUUAUUGAAAGGUCCGGCUGUAUUUUAAUCUGUAGAGUUCAUAUAACCACCAAAACUAAUAUUGUGGUGAAUGUAAUAAGUAUUCUUUCAUUUUUAAUCAGAGAAAUUUGAGUUAAAGUCCUGGAAAUAGAAUCCUCUUUGAUAGAAAAACUCUUUAUCUCGAAGAAGAAUAUUUCAAUGUGAAUUCAGAUUAAUCGAUCCAAAAAGUUUUCAAAUGAUUUUCCAUUCUAUUAAACAACUAAGAACUAUUCGUUGAGACCCUUUCAACAUUAUUUCAUAUAUUAUCUCAUGUAUUACGGUAUGUAUAGUUUAUUGUUUUGUUUGAUUUUUUUCAUAUAAAUUUAAUAUAAUGUAGAUACAAUUGAGUUAUUUUGGUAUCUUAUCAAAUGUUCAUACCUAUUUUGAUUCUUGGGAUUCAACUAACUUUAGAUGUGUCAAGGCACGAUUUAUCAUGAUUUUUUAAAAUCAUAUUUAGGGCUCGAUUCUAAAAUUUUUGGCUAAGAGGGAAGUGAUACUAUCCAUCUCAUCACAAUUUUUGACGGUUAUACACAUCUUAUUUUUUGUUUGCCACCUAAUAUUUGUUACUUGCAUUAAAGCCUUGACUAAUUCAGAUUCACGUUAUGUAUAGGUCACUGAAAGAGAAAACGCUUCAUAUGAAUAUUUUUAUACUCAAAACUCGAACCCAAUACCUCUCAUCUCAUUAAAGGUAAGAGAUCAUAUCUAUAUUUUUAAUGGAAAUUCAAGGAAAGAGAGCUAGCAAAUAUCGACUGAAUAUUUCUGAUGAAAACGAAUCAAAUAAUUGCAUUUAAAAAAUAAUGAAAACAUGAAAAUGUCAAAACAUGGUGAUUAGGUAGAAAUUUUUUAAUCUUGAUAAUUGUUGUUCAACAACCCAAAGUUGACUAAAUAUCUAUUUUUCUCUAAAUUCACAUUAAAAAGUUAAAUUAUUGACAAAAUGAGAAAGAAGAGAGAAAUUAAAUUUAAAUUAUUGACAAAAUGAGAAAGAAGUAGGAAAUUGAAGUUAAAUUAUUGACAAAAUGAGAAAGAAGAGAGACAUUAAAUUAUUGACAAAAUGAGAAAAAAGAGAGAAACAAAAGUCUUACAUCUUUUUUCUCUUUUCUUUUUGAACACAACUUUUCUUUUAUUCUUUUUUCAUGUUGUACUUUCUCACCUCAUGUGUCUUUUACUUUAUUCUUUUUUUUUUACAUUGGUUUUCUUAUUCGAUUUCCGAUAUCUGUAUCAAAGUUCGAUUAAAUUUGAAUUCACUUCAAAAAUCCCGCAUUGAGCCAAUAAAUGCAAGACAUAUGUCUUUUAUCCAUAUUCUGGUCUUACUAAACUCAGAUUCGCAUCAGAAAAUCUCAUAUUGAGAGAACUAAAACGUUUUCUAACAAAUGCGACUUCAUGUCCAGAACUCAAAUGUGAGACUUUUGGAUAAGAAUGAACACAUAAUUCUUAUUAAUCCGUGUCUUGUGCAUAUAUAUUUAUUACUAAGCCAAUAAUAUAUAUUUUCACUUUAUUUUUUUACUCCAUUAAUUUAACAUGAAUAUCCGAUGUGAAUAAAUUUUUCCUAAUUAAAAAGGUUGUUUUGCCAAAUUCAAUUCGACUGGAAAACACAUGUUGAGAAUAAAAACAAACACUUGAUUGAAUAUUGACAAAAAACUUUUUAAUUCUUUAUUCAUUUUAAUGAAAUUCUGAAACCAUAUAUUAUAAUGUGAUAUAAUUAGUUGAUCACCUUACCACAUAGACCAUUGAAAGUUUCUUGAUUUUUGUGCUUUAAAUUCUUUAAGAGAAGAAAAAAAAAAUGAGCAAAAAAAUUUCUGCAGCAUCAGCCAGGUCUCAUACUAGGAAAACUGAACAGAUCAAGAGUUCAAUUCCACUUCCUUCAGGUACUCAAUUUUUCAAUUUUUUUUCUAAUGUUAUUUUAUUGGACACAUUUAUUUUUAUUUAGUAUGACGAUGAUAUGAUAUGAGCAUAAAUGAAGAAUGAGGAUUCAUAUGGUCGAUCUCGACUUGUUUUGGACUGAGGAGUAGUUGUUAUUGUUGUACUAGAGAAUUUUUCACGAUAUGUUUGUAGCUAUUAGAAUGCCAUUUACUUGAUGAAUUUUAGAAAGUUGUGAUUUUUAUUUGAAAUUCUUCACAUUUGUAUAGUUUGGUGAUUAAUGCUCUUAGAUAUAAUAUGAUAUUGGGUUUUUUUGGUUGAAAAUAUGAGUUAAUGAUUGUUUUGUACGAUCAGAGGUGGAGUCAGAAUUUUUAGUUUUCCGGUUAAAGGUUGGAGUUUAGUCAAAAUAGUCGUUGUGGCUCCCAUCCAUGAAGUGUGUGACCAUUUCUUCUGAAAUGUUAAAGGUUUUAGAUAGAGUACAUUUUUAUUUACUUAAUUAUGUCUUCAGUACACCCCUCACAUGAUCGGGAGCUAAUUCUUUUUUAUGGAUCAAACACGUGAAUUUUUUUCCGAAAAUGGAUGGUAGUGAGACUUGAUACUAAGAUCUCUGCUUGUUCGGAUACCACAUAUGAAGUAUGUAACCAUCUCGUCUAAAUACUUAAUUUGUUAGAGAAAUAAAUGUGAUGUGAAGAAUUUAGCAUAUCUAACUUGUAAAUCUUCUUGAAAAAUGUUGUUGAAAUUGUUUGAGUUGUUAACAUUCUAGCUUGAAAUCUUCUUGAAAUCAUGAUAUUAUGUUGCUCGGACCCUUCAAAAAUGAUGCCGCACCUAUAUCUUAUCCUAAAAAAUGCAUAGCUUUUGGAGGACGGACACACCCUUGGUUGUAUUUUUGAAGAGCCCGAGCAAUAGAGCAUAAAAGUUCUUGUGGCAGAGCAAGUGUGUUCUGUUUUCUUGCUUUUAAAACUUCAUUCCAAGCUUAUAAAAGGGGGAAAAAUUUCAGGGAUGUUUGGGAAAAUUCUAGCAGUCCUCUUCGUGGGGUUCGUGGCGUAUGCUUAUCGAGCAAUGCAGCCUCCUCCUUCGAAAAUUUGUGGCACCCCUGAUGGCCCUCCUGUUACAUCUCCUAGAAUUAAACUUAGCGAUGGACGAUACUUAGCUUACAAAGAACAUGGUGUACCAAGAGAUCAAGCAAAACAUAAGAUUGUGUUCAUCCACGGAUAUGAUUCUAAUAGACACGAUGCUGUUGUUGCAACUGGCCUCUCUCCGGUAACUCUCAUCCGUUUACCUCAACUCUGUCUUCAUUUCUUAGUAGCUCAGUUGGUUGGCUAGCUGACCUUUCACCUUGUUCUCGUUUUAUAGCUUUUGUGUUAAUAAAUUGAUGUUUUUCCAGGAGGUUAUUGAAAGCUUGGGAGUAUACAUUGUUUCAAUUGAUAGACCUGGUUAUGGAGAAAGUGAUCCUAAUCCGAAACGAACAGUAAAGAGCUUGGCGUUUGAUGUACAAGAACUUGCUGAUCAAUUAGGACUCGGGUCCAAAUUCUACGUCAUUGGAUUUUCGAUGGGAGGACAAGCUGUUUGGACCUUGCUCAAAUAUAUUCCUCAUAGGUACUCAUCUAUAUAUGGACUCAAAUUUAUGCUUCACGUUAAAAGUACUGGGUUCAGAUGAACUCUGUGUUGUAGUGUUGUGUUUGGUUUGUAUAAGCUCAUGUUGUGUGAUAUGUGACAGAUUGGCUGGAGCAGCUCUUCUAGCACCUGUUACCAACUACUGGUGGCCUAACUUCCCCGCGAACUUGUCCAAGGAAGCGUUCAGUCAUCAGCUUCCUCAGGAUAUAUGGAAUCUUCGCGUUGCUCACUACCUUCCGUGGCUUACAUACUGGUGGAACACUCAGAAGUUUUUCCCUGCUUGUAGUGCUGCUGCUUACAACCCCGGUGCUCUUUCGUCCCAGGACCUAGAACUAAUGCCCAAGUAUCGCGCCAACACAGAUCUUUAUGUAAGUGUUCUUCUCUUCAGAUCAUACCUCUUGUUACAUUUAGCUGUUUCUUGUUCAUAUCGUUGACAUACUAGUUGUAAAAUAUCAAUGUCAUUACUCAUUAGUUAUAUCUGGUCGUAAGUGCAAUGAAGGUCACGAACCUAAUCCAUAUGCCUCUAUAUGAUCACACCAUUGACCCCGUCCAAGUAAGUUUGUGAUACUUCACAGUGGCCUAUUAGUAAGUGCCCUUUUUUACCUCCAAUUGACUCCAUGUUUGUGUAUCAUGUAGCAGUUGAACACCCUUAGUCAGAAAAUUAUACUGUGUGUAUAUAUAGAUCAAGAAACUACUUUUUACCUAUAUAUCUUUAAUCUGAUAUACCCUUAACAAAAUUUCUUGCACCCUCAGGCUCAGGUGAGACAACAGGGACAACACGAGUCACUCUAUCGCGACCUUAUGAUUGGGUUCGGGACAUGGGAGUUUGACCCUGUGGAUUUGGAAAAUCCAUUUCCUAACAAAGAAGGUUCAGUACAGUUGUGGCAAGGGGACGAGGACAAGCUCGUCCCUGUAACUCUACAACGAUACAUUGCUCAACGACAACCAUGGAUUCAAUAUCAUGAAAUCGCGGGGGCUGGUCAUAUGUUUCCGGUUGUUGAUGGAAUGGCAGACAAAAUUGUGAAAGCUCUUUUGAUCGGAGAGAAAAAUGUGUCGUAAGAGUUGCAUACACUAGGUCGUUUAUCGCAUGCAUAUCAUUUUUAAUACAUCGAUUGUGCUUUGAGUAUACCUUUCAUACAACUAGUUUGUCGCAUUACACUAUGCACAUCAUUUUUCAUACAUAGAUUGAUGCUUUGAUUAUACUUUUCAUACGGCUAGCUAUGCUAUUCUGGCUCUUCAAACAUGUUGACGGGUGCAUGUCAGAGGUUCAAAAGUAGUAAAUUUUUAGAUGAUGUGAUGAGUGUGAGUGUGACGAUAUCUUUAAGAGAGUUUGAGCAAUGUAGACGACUAGUCAUUUUUGUAAUAAAAGAAUGUUAUAUUUAUAGACUAUUUUCAAUGGUAUAUUUUGUGAGGAUUGAUGUUUUUGUGUCUUUAUAUUGUCCCAUUGUUUUUAACUAGUGUCUAACUUCACCUUGUAAAAGCUACACAUAUAUGAUAUAUAUAUAUGAUGAUUUUCUACAUUCAUAGUUUUUUUUCUUUGUUUUUUUAUUAAUUUAAUUAACAAAUACAUUUCUUUCUUUUGGAUACACAAAAUUAUUAAAUUAUUUAUUUUGUAAACUUUUUAUUUGUAACAACCAAAUAAAAUCUAAACGUAUAAUAACAAUAUAUAACAUCACGUCACUAUAGAACCUAUGAAAUUUUCAGACAAAAACUGACACUUAUUACAAAAAAAAGGGAAGAAAUAGAAAGAACUAUAUAUAAAAAAAUUAUAUACUAAUUAAGUUAAAAUAAAAUAAAAGAAAAUAACAUUUUUAAUUUUUUUUUUCUUCUAAAACACGCUGAAGCUAUCGUUGGGGUUAAUACACAAACUACCUUUAAUCUAAAAGGACAAGUUGGUGAUAGCAAUAAAAAAUGGGUGGGGUCAUAAGCUGUCGUUACAUCAUAUGUUAAAAAAAAUAAAAAUUAAAAGUACAUGAGCUGAGACUCAGAUCUGUUCAGUGUUCCUUUUUGUAAAAUUUAGAGUGCAAAUUACAGAAUUUGUAAUUUCAAAAUCAAGAAUUUGCUGCAGCUGGAAAAAAAUGGCAGGUGGGGCAACAAGGAAAAUUUCAGCAGCUUCAGCUAGGGCUCAUACUCGUAAAGCUAAGCAAAAGACUUAUUUUCCUCUUCCUUCUGGUGGGUUUUCGUAUUUUUCAAUUUUAUUUUAUCUUAUGUUGAAAAUAUAUUGAAGAAUUGAAUCUGUAUUAUGUAAAGUUGAUAACUUUCUUUUAAUUAGAGGUCUCGGGUUUGAACUGAGGUAGAAAGUUGCCUUUGUUAGGGAGUAUGUUAGCUCUAAUGUGGGAUUUCUUGGCGCGAAUAUGGGUUUAGUUGGGUUGGGUCCUAAUUCGGGCAUCGGACACUUGGUUGAGAAACCAAAAAUAAAAGUCGAUAACUUUGUUAAUCAGAGGUCUCGGGUUUGAGCUGGAGCAAGGAGUUGCCAUUGUUAAAGAGUAUUUUUUUCACUCAAUGUAGGACUUUCCGGAUUUAGGUAGGUUGGGUCUCAAUGCAGGUACCGGACACUGGGUUGAGAAACCAAAAAACAAAAGUUGAUAACUUUCUUAACUAGAGGUAUCGGGUUUGAGCCAGAGUAAGGAGUUGCCAUUGUUAAAGAGUAUUUUUUUUUCACUCAAUGUAGGACUUUUGCGGAUUUAGGUGGGUUGGAUCUCAAUGCAGGUACCGGACACUGGGUUGAGAAACCAAAAAACAAAAGUUGAUAACUUUCUUAACUAGAGGUGUCGGGUUUGAGCCAGUGUAAGGAAUUGCCAUUGUUAAAGAGUAUUUUUUUCACUCAAUGUAGGAAUUUCCGCAUUUAGGUGGGUUGGAUCUCAAUGCAGGUACCGGACACUGGGUUGAGAAACCAAAAAACAAAAGUUGAUAACUUUCUUAACUAGAGGUGUCGGGUUUGAGCCAGUGUAAGGAAUUGCCAUUGUUAAAGAGUAUUUUUUUCACUCAAUGUAGGAAUUUCCGCAUUUAGGUGGGUUGGAUCUCAAUGCAGGUACCGGACACUGGGUUGAGAAACCAAAAAACAAAAGUUGAUAACUUUCUUAACUAGAGGUGUCGGGUUUGAGCCAGUGUAAGGAAUUGCCAUUGUUAAAGAGUAUUUUUUUCACUCAAUGUAGGACUUUCCGGAUUUAGGUAGGUUGGGUCUCAAUGCAGGUACCGGACACUGGGUUGAGAAACCAAAAACAAAAGUUGAUAACUUUGUUAGAUUUGGUGGGAUGUUUUGAUUUUGCUUAUGAUUUUGAUAGUUUUUCUAACAUUUGGAUGAGUUUGUUAUGUGAAUUGAUAACUUUCUUAACCAAACAUGUCGGGUUUGAGCCGGGGUAUGGAGUCGCCUUUGUUAGAGGGAGCAUUUUAUCCUCCAAUGUAAGAUUUCUUUCCGGUGCAAAUCCAGAUUUAGUUGCAUCCCGCAUCGGAUAAUGGUUUGGGAAACUGAAACCAGUUGAUAACUUUGUUGCAUUUGGUGGGAAGUUUAGAUUUUGACUAUGGUCACCCUUGUUUAGAGAGCAUUUUAUUCCCCAAUGUGGAAUUUUCCGCUGCAAAUCUGCAUUUAGUCAGGUUUCAAUGCGGAAAUUUAGGUACUGAACACUAGGGUGGGAAACCAUAUUGUAAUGAACAAAUGAUAUAUAUAUAUACACACAUGCAUGAUUUUUAAAAAAAAAAUCACCUACCUCAACUAUUAAAAAGAAUCUCUUGUUCUUGUGUGGUCAUCUAAAGCGAAGCACCUACCCUCAACUAUUGAAGUUUAAUAGUAGGACUUUUAAAUUUUGAAUUAACGAUAAAAAACCACGCUUGAAGUAUUACGUUUAAUAGCUUAAAAGGUCAUUGAACUUAUGAGACUUAAAAAGAAAAAAAAAACAUGCACAUUAAGAAUAGUAAAGUAACACAAAGUUAUUGUGUUGGUGUAAACAGUCAAAAUAGAAGUUUCAAUAAUAUAAAUAUUCGGCAAACAAAAUUUACUAGUUUUUUGCUCAGUUUUUCCUUUUUAUUGUAUAGCAGUUGAACAAACUUGUGUUAUACAAAUACAUAACUGAUUUUAUAUGACAUGAGUUUACUUAAAAUUUUGUUUAUUUAUGGGUGCAUGUUUACAUGGCAUAAUUAUUUUUCUUCUUGAUGUUUCCUAAGGGAAGGUUCUUAUUGUAGGUCCAACAUUCAUCAAAAAAGGUUUCUUGAUUUCUCUUAUUAUUUUCUUGAAAUCUUUCCAUUUUCAGGAAUGAUGAGAAAUAUGGUAGCCCUUUUUGGAAUUGUGAUAUUGGCACUGAUUUAUAGGGCAAUUAUGCCACCAUCACCAAAGAUUUGUGGUUCACCAAAUGGACCUCUAAUUACAGCACCGAGAGUGAAGCUUUCUGAUGGGAGAUAUUUGACAUAUAAAGAAAAUGGUGUUCCUAGAGACCAAGCAAAACACAAAUUUGUUUUCAUCCAUGGCUUUGAUUGUGUUAGACAUGAUGUUGCUUUGCACACAACUACUUCUCCUGUAUGUAUGUUUCAUCUUUACUUGUUCUCCCCUCGCCCUCCCUUAGAAUAGUUUUUAGUUUCUUUUUCGUUUUGUUUGUGUCCGAUAUUUGUUUUGGGGUCCGACUAAUUUAGAUUUGUGUUGGGAGGUUUCACUUUUAAGGCUCCCGACCAAAGAUUACUCUAUUUUCAGAGCUCAACCCCCAAGAGUCUGGUGAUUCUAGUUAAGGAUGAAGGGAUACUUUUAAAGGUUGUUUGAGUAUUCGUCUUGGUUUCCCAUCCGGUGUCCGGCAUCUAUUGGAGCCCUACUAAUCUGAAUUUGUGUCCGGAAGUCCUAGUUUUAAGGCUCCCGGCCCAAUGCAACUACAUUUUCAGAGUUCAAACCUUAGAUCUCUGGUUAAUUAUUGAGGGGUACUUAUAAAGGUUGUGUUUAGUAUUCUUUUUAGUUUCCCACCCGGUGUCCAACAUCCGAUUUGGUGCAUGACUAGUCCGAAUUCACAUCUGGAAGUCCCACUUUGAGGGUUAAGGCUCCUAACAACAGCGACUUUAUUUCUAGAGCUUGGAUCCGGAGCUUGAUUAAGGAUGGAGGGACACUUACCGUCUGCUUGAAUAUAUUUGUGGCUGCAAUUAAUGAAAUUUUGUUUGUGGUUGCAGGAGCUUAUGCAAAGCUUGGGAAUAUAUAUUGUGUCAAUUGAUAGACCUGGUUAUGGUGAAAGUGAUCCUCAUCCAAAAAGAACGCCAAAGACCUUAGCUCUUGAUAUAGAGGAAUUAGCUGAUCAAUUGGAAUUGGGAUCUAAAUUUUAUGUUAUGGGAUUUUCUAUGGGUGGACAAGCUGUUUGGGGCCUUCUCAAAUAUAUUCCUCACAGGUAUCAUUUAGUUUCCUCGCACCUCAACUAUUUAACAAGGUACAUGUUACGUCCCACCAGCGCAUAUAUGGGUAACUUUGUCUACCAAUGCUUAAGCAGAUGAGGAGAAGUCAUCUUAUGAAUUGACUUGAUUGUUCAGAGAAAGUAGUUUAGUUCUUUGGGUUUAACUUAUAGACACUGACGGUGCCACUGAUUUUUAUAGUAUUAGUGUAUGUUAAUCUGUUGUAGUUAUCUUUUAGAUGACUUUCUCAGUGUCCGUAUUAGCUUGUCGUAUUAGUUGUACCACAUAGGACUGAACUUCCCACUAGUAUAAGUUAAAUUUAUGGUGUCUGGAUUAGUUUGUUCGCACCUCAACUAUUUAACAGAGUACCUGCUAACUCCCACCAGCGCAUACAUGGGUAACUUUGUCUAUCAAUGCUUAAGCAGGUGCGGAGAAAUCAUCUUACGGAUUGGCUUUUUUUUUCCUUUUCUAUGUGUAUAAAUUGAUUUUUCAGAGAAAGUAGUUUAGUUCUUCAGAUUUAACUUAUAGACACUGACGAUGCUAACGACUUUUACAUUAUUAGUUUACAUUAAUCUGUCGUAGUUAUCUUUUAGGUGACCUUCUCGGGUGCAUAUAGGUUUCCAUCUUAACUUGUGACAUUUGAAAUGUGUAACAGAUUGGCUGGAGCAAUUCUUCUAACACCUGUGACUAACUACUGGUGGGGUAGUUUUCCUGCAAACUUGACUAAACAAGCGUACUACGAACAGCUCGUGCAGGAUCAAUGGACACUUCGGAUUGCACACUAUUUUCCAUGGCUGACUUACUGGUGGAACACUCAAAAAUUGUUUCCUUCUUCCAGCGUUGCAACGGGCAGCGAGGAUAUUCUUUUAGAGCAAGACAGAGUUCUAAUGCCUAUCUUUGAUUCAUAUCAGAGUAAAUAUCGGGUGAGUACUCCUUUAGCUUCUUAGCAUAUCCACAUUUCAUUUUCACGCGACUUUGAAGUAAGAUCAAUGGUGGAUCAACAAUGGAUUCGCGAAUUUGGAAAAACUCUGUGCUUCAAAUAGAGUUACAUAUAAGUUUUUUGCAUCAUUAGCGACAGUAGGAGACGCUUCAUAUCAAAUCUGAUAUAGUAACACCGUAACACGCAAGAUAGAGUCAUAACUUGUUAUAACUAGUUAAAUUACGCUGAUAGUAUUGUAUAUAACUUAAUUCCACAAUUAUAUGUGUUGAUUUUGAUUAGCAAAUUGUUUGAGUUAAUUCUCCUAAUUCUUGUUCUUGCCUAAUGCAUACUAGCAACUAACAAGUACUUAACUCUGAGUUCUGUUCUGUUUUUUGAUUUGAGGUUAGGACUUGGUAAGACAGCAAGGGGAGUAUGAGUCCAUCCAUCGCGACCUAAUGGUAGGUUUCGGGACAUGGGAAUUUGAUCCGAUGGAACUAGAAAACCCAUUCCCUAACGGGGAAGGGUCCGUUCACAUUUGGCAAGGUGAUGAAGACGGGCAUGUACCAGUCAUUCUACAACGAUUCAUCGCGAAGAAACUCCCAUGGAUUCACUAUCAUGAAAUGAAAGGAGGAGGUCAUAUGUUUCCAUGGGCUGAAGGAAUGGGAGAUAAAGUCAUGAAGACAUUUUUACUUGGAGAGCCUUUUGUUAUGUAAAAGCUAUAAAGGGCUAUUGGUUUUACUAUUGGAUUCAAUGACUCUUUUGGUCAUUGAACAAAUUUGAAUAUUUUGUUAAUAAUUAAAUUCUACUCAAGUCGUUGGGAC
rnacentral:lncRNA from 1 species